rnacentral:rRNA from 1 species
UACGAAGGGGGCUAGCGUUGCUCGGAAUCACUGGGCGUAAAGCGCACGUAGGCGGACUCUUAAGUCGGUGGUGAAAUCCUGGAGCUCAACUCCGGAACUGCCUUCGAUACUGGGAGUCUCGAGUCCGGGAGAGGUGAGUGGAACUGCGAGUGUAGAGGUGAAAUUCGUAGAUAUUCGCAAGAACACCAGUGGCGAAGGCGGCUCACUGGCCCGGUACUGACGCUGAGGUGCGAAAGCGUGGGGAGCAAACAGG